AUGAACGCUGGCGGCGUGCCUAAGACAUGCAAGUCGAGUGGGUUUAGACCCACGGCGAACGGGUGAGUAAUACCUAGGAAUUUUCUUUAAGUUGAGGAUAUCCCACCGAAAGGUGGUGCAAUACUCAAUGUGGCCGCAAGGCUAAAGUCGCAAGACGCUUAAAGUGAAGCCUGGGCACCAUCAGCUAGUUGGUAAGGUAAUGGCUUACCAAGGCUAUGACGGUUAGCGGGUCCGAGAGGAUGAUCCGCCACACUGGGACUGCGACACGGCCCAGACUCCUACGGGAGGCAGCAGUUGGAAUUUUGGACAAUGGGCGAAAGCCUGAUCCAGCGACGCCGCGUGGACGAAGACGGCCUUCGGGUUGUAAGUCCUUUUGGCAGGGAACAAUUUUUGAGUGUACCUGCAGAAUAAGAGGUUGCUAACUCUGUGCCAGCAGCAGCGGUAAUACAGAGACCUCAAGCGUUAUCCGGAAUCAUUGGGCGUAAAGCGUACCGAUAGGUGGUUAUGAAAGUCAGAGGUGAAAUCACAAAGCUUAACUUUGUGACUGUCCUUUGAAACUUCAUGACUAGAGGGGCAAAGAGGAAGCUGGAACAAACGGUGUAGUAGUGAAAUGCGUUGAUAUCGUUUGGAACACCAAUAGCGUAGGCAAGCUUCUGGGUGCCACCUGACACUGCUAGGACGAAAGCGUGGGGAGCGAAUGGGAUUAGAUACCCCAGUAGUCCACGCUGUAAACGAUGAUAAUUAGGCGCUAGAGAGUGUCGACCCUCAUUAGUGCCGUAGCUAACGCGUUAAAUUAUCCGCCUGGGGAGUACGGCCGCAAGGCUAAAACUCAAAGGAAUUGACGGGGACCCGUACAAGCGGUGGAGCAUGUGGUUUAAUUCGACGGUAAGCGAGGAACCUUACCAAGGCUUGACAUGUACCUGCAUCAUCUGGAAACAGAUGCGCCUUCGAGGGUGGUACACAGGUGCUGCACGGUUGUCGUCAGCUCGUGUCGUGAGAUGUGCACUUAAGUGUGCGAACGAGCGCAACCCUUAUUAUUGGUUACAAGUGUCCAAUGAGACUGCCAGGGUUUAACCUGGAGGAAGGUGGGGAUGACGUCAAAUCAGCGUGGCUCUACGCCUUGGGCUACACACGUGCUACAAUGGACAGUUACAAAGGGACGCCAAGUCGCAAGACGGAGCAAAUCCCGCCAAAACUGUCCCCAGUUCAGAUUGAGGGCUGCAACUCGCCCUCAUGAAGCCGGAAUCGCUAGUAACCGUAGAUCAGCCUCGCUACGGUGAAUACGUUCUCGGGUUUUGUACACACCGCCCGUCACACCAUGGAAGUGGAUAGUACCCGAAGUCCCGAUUUAUCGGGAUUAAGGUAAGAUUCAUAACUGGGGUG
rnacentral:rRNA from 1 species